rnacentral:rRNA from 1 species
AUUGAACGCUGGCGGCAGGCUUAACACAUGCAAGUCGAGCGGUAACAGAGAGAAGCUUGCUUCUCUGCUGACGAGCGGCGGACGGGUGAGUAAUGCCUAGGAAUCUGCCUAGUAGUGGGGAUAACUUGCCGAAAGGUAAGCUAAUACCGCAUACGUCCUACGGGAGAAAGGGGGGGACCUUCGGGCCUUUCGCUAUUAGAUGAGCCUAGGUCGGAUUAGUUAGUUGGUGAGGUAAUGGCUCACCAAGACCGCGAUCCGUAACUGGUCUGAGAGGAUGAUCAGUCACACUGGAACUGAGACACGGUCCAGACGCCUACGGGAGGCAGCAGUGGGGAAUAUUGGACAAUGGGGGGAACCCUGAUUCAGCCAUGCCGCGUGUGUGAAGAAGGUCUUAGGAUUGUAAAGCACUUUAAGUUGGGAGGAAGAGCAGUUAACUAAUAUUUGACUGUUUUGACGUUACCGACAGAAUAAGCACCGGCUAACUUCGUGCCAGCAGCCGCAGUAA